GAUGAAGAACGUAGCGAAAUGCGAUAAGUAAUGUGAAUUGCAGAAUUCAGUGAAUCAUCGAAUCUUUGAACGCACAUUGCGCCCGCCAGCAUUCUGGCGGGCAUGCCUGUUCGAGCGUCAUUUCAACCCUCGAGCCCCCCCGGGGGCCUCGGUGUUGGGGGACGGCACACCAGCCGCCCCCGAAAUGCAGUGGCGACCCCGCCGCAGCCUCCCCUGCGUAGUAGCACACACCUCGCACCGGAGCGCGGAGGCGGUCACGCCGUAAAACGCCCAACUUUCUUAGAGUUGACCUCGGAUCAGGUAGGAAUACCCGCUGAACUUAAGCAUAUCAAUAAACGGAGGA
rnacentral:misc_RNA from 1 species